AGAGUCUUUGCAAGGUAAGGUCUAGCCAACCACCUUUAUCGAGUGUUGUGCCGUUACUGGUGACAGUAAAGGUAAAGCGUACACAGAGAAUCCUAUAGACCAUAAGGGAGACCAUAAUCCCUGAAGCACAUUGAGCCCCGUUAAUGUUGCUCUAGAAUUAGAGGAAGCGCAGAUGACGACGUGUUUAACGUCACGGAAGUCAAUACAAAGAAGUCGAUAAAGGCAAGACUUUGGAUGGUCUGUCGGGGUCAAAGAACG
rnacentral:ncRNA from 1 species